rnacentral:lncRNA from 1 species
GUUCUGCAGGCUGGGGAGAGGAGGAGGGGAGUCCCCAGGCAUGUGGGGAGCGCAGAAGAGCUGGCAGAGAGCAAAGUGUGGCAGAUACUAUGAGCCGAACAUAUGGACAUGCAGAUGUUUCAGCAGGAAUGGAUGGAAGCACAGGUAAAGUUAAAUAUAGACAUCAAGAUCUAAAUGUAUCAGUGGGUGCACAAAAGGACCCCAGGAGGGGGAAAUGGAGAAAAUUUCAGGUGCUUAUGCCUUCACGCACCCCUUUCUCUGCCAUCCUGCCCUCGUCUUCACUGUCUGCCCACUGAGACCUGGGGUCACUGCUCACUUUCAGACAGGAAAUUGAAAGACCUUUGCAAACACUUGGUCCC